rnacentral:tRNA from 1 species
GGCUCAAUGGUCUAGUGGUAGGAUACUCGCUUCGGGUCUGUACGAUUCCAAUCUCACUGGAUCGUGAAUCCCAUCUCGCAGAACGAGAUAAUGUGAGUGGUCCCGGGUUCAAAUCCCGGUUGAGCCC